CGGACAACCACGACAGCGACCUCAGGGCGGAUAAGCCGCGGGCCGGGGCCGGCGAAUGCGGGACGGGAUUUUCUGCCUUCCAGAUCACUCUCCUUUCCAGAUUGAUCUGCAAGCUCUGGCGUUGCACGUUAGUUUGGCAGUGGGUUACAGCGGCAGGCUGUCGUUGAUUAUGGCCUAGAGGAUGUGUGUUGCCUGAUCUGGAAUAGUAUUUCAGAAGCUCAGUUGGAAUCUGUGUGCAUGUGAAGCUUCUUACUAAAACUUUUCAAUACCGAGUUGUAAUUUUUUGCUUGAAUUAUCAUUAUCAUGUAAUAUAAUGUGCUCUUGCUGUGAACUAACUAAUUUUCUUUUGCUUAAUUUGUAUUGUAGGCUGGUAUAGACCUUCUGUCAUUCUGUGAAAAUUGGAGAACAAAUUUGGCCUUCUAUUCAUGUUCCCUCAUGUUCUGAAAAUUGAGAGCUCAGAUGAUAAGAUAUGAUAUGUAUUGUCAGCUAUGCACAUAAAGUCUCAUAACUGAAACAUGGUAAUCAAAUUUAAGUACCAAAAAGGGGACUGCAGGCUUCAACGUCAGUUAAGAAUAAUCUUGUGAGAGCCUCAACUAUUAAUUUGAAGGAGUAUAAAUGU